AUAACAUCAACAUAAAGCCCGAUUGGUAUACAUAUAAAACUUCCAAACGAUCGCCUGAAUAACGGGCUAUAAUAUGGCUACUUAAAAUGAUUAGAACCAAAGCAAUUUGUCUUAAGAGAACCUUCUGGAAUAAAAGAACUGGCCCGGGACGGGGCUCGAACCCGCAACCUCCGCUUACCGUGCGGUGCGCUACCAGUUACGCCACCCGGACCCCGAGCAAGCCUUCGCUUCCAGAAGUAUAUAUAAUAGAUUAGAUAUAACCUUACUUGGUUAAAUACAUCACUGACUGGGGGCGACUUCAUCGCCCACGACCCUCAAUGGCACUCAGCCAGCUAACGUAACACCCGGCGAGG